UACGGAGGGUGCAAGCGUUAAUCGGAAUUACUGGGCGUAAAGCGUGCGUAGUCGGUUAUUUAAGUCGGAUGUGAAAUCCCCGGGCUCAACCUGGGAAUUGCAUUCGAUACUGGAUAGCUAGAGUUCGGCAGAGGGAAGCGGAAUUUCUGGUGUAGCGGUGAAAUGCGUAGAUAUCAGGAGGAACACCAGUGGCGAAGGCGGUGCUCUGGGCCGGAACUGACGCUGAGGAGCGAAAGCGUGGGGAGCAAACAGG
rnacentral:rRNA from 1 species